rnacentral:lncRNA from 1 species
AAGGACUAAUCAUGCCAUUAAAGCCAAUAAUAUGUGCCCUUCAUCCAUUGAUCUUAGCUACUUCUGUCCUCAGAAGUAUGCAACCACUUACAUCCACUUUACAACAUUCACUAUGUGCUACUUUUGUUCCUAGAAGUACCACCCACAUAUACGCACUAUACUCUGUGUUGUUUCUAUCCUGGAGACACGCAUCUAUGCUGCUCCUACCCUGGGAGUACACAUUCACCCAUACACAUUCCACGUCCACUCAGAAAAUGUUCUACUCCACACUGGGAGAAGACACUCAAAAAUAUUCAUUGCCAUUAUAUCUUUUUCUACUUAUCCAAUAGAGCUCCAGUUAUUUUAGUUGAUACUCCCUACUGCUAUCAGUGCAUUAAAAGGGUUGGCUGAUUUAUAAAAAAAGAAGAAAAAGAGAAAAGAAAAGAAAGAGGACAAAAGUCCCAAAAGAAGAGAAAAAUAGCCGAGUCCUUGUUUCCAAAUUAGGGAGGUAUGUUAUCCCCAAGGAGCAAUUGUAGAAUUAGAUUUUCACCAUCAAUCAUCACCCCUCAUUAUCACCAUCAUUCUUAUCAUUCAUUUCAUUCACUGCACUCAUAUGCACAUAUGACUUGAUUGUAUUAUGAGUUUCUCUAGAUCCAUGGUUUAACUAUGCAAUACAUGUAAGUAGGUUUGAAUUAUCUUUCUGUUGAUGCAAAAGCUGAUCUGCAAACACAAAGGGCUAAUACCUGAUUUAAACGUUAAGGCAUGCCAGCCGAUUUGACCUUACUAUCGGCAAAGGUGGUAACUCGAAUACUUUGGUCCCGACAACAGCGAUGCGCCCGGAUGUCACGGCCAAGAGGUAUUCACGC